rnacentral:rRNA from 1 species
UACGUAGGAUGCAAGCGUUGUCCGGAUUUACUGGGCGUAAAGCGUGCGCAGGCGGUUUUGUAAGUCUGUCGUGAAAUCCCCGGGCUCAACCUGGGAAUUGCGAUGGAGACUGCAAGGCUAGAAUCUGGCAGAGGGGGGUAGAAUUCCACGUGUAGCAGUGAAAUGCGUAGAGAUGUGGAGGAACACCGAUGGCGAAGGCAGCCCCCUGGGUCAAGAUUGACGCUCAUGCACGAAAGGCGUGGGGAGCAAACGAGG